rnacentral:tRNA from 1 species
GUUUUUAUAAUUUAAACAAAAUAUUAGUCUUGUAAACUAAAAAUAAGUAAAAAAAUCUUUAAAAACA